UUUCUGGGCUCAGCACCCUGGAGAUUCUGACCAAGGUUGCCUGCGUCCCGUGAGAAUGCAGACAUAGGCACCAACAUGGCACAGAUCCCUGGAGCCAGAAGGGCAAGACAGAAAGGCUAAUAGAAGAUGUUAUUUAAUUUUGAGCAGUUUUAAGCAUCUAUGUUUCCUCUUCUCUUUCCAGAAGUGGCGUGGAGAUUUACGAAUAAAUGAGUGCAAGGAAAGCUUGAAUACAGGCUGCCUUGUUCAGUUCUCCUUACUCUUGCCAGGCCCCUCCCCCAUCCCUGUCUUGCUGCAGGACUUUCUCGUUCCAGAUUACCCUCAAGCUAAUCUGAGCUUUUCUGCCUGCCCACUGGUGAGGUUUCAGAAUCCCCGGAUCCUACUGGACAGUGGACUUGGGAUUGCCCUCUACUGCUGUGCCUCAGUCAAAGCUCACAAUUGUGUUUUCUAA
rnacentral:lncRNA from 1 species